rnacentral:rRNA from 1 species
UACAGAGGGGGCAAGCGUUGUUCGGAAUUACUGGGCGUAAAGGGCGCGUAGGCGGCCUUCUAAGUCGAACGUGAAAUCCCUGGGCUCAACCCAGGAACUGUGUCCGAUACUGAAAGGCUUGAAUCCGGGAGAGGGAUGCGGAAUUCCAGGUGUAGCGGUGAAAUGCGUAGAUAUCGGGAGGAACACCAGUGGCGAAGGCGACUUCCUGGCCUGUUCUUGACGCUGAGGCGCGAAAGCUAGGGGAGCAAACGGG